AUUGAACGCUGGCGGCAGGCCUAACACAUGCAAGUCGAGCGGAUGAGUGGAGCUUGCUCCAUGAUUCAGCGGCGGACGGGUGAGUAAUGCCUAGGAAUCUGCCUGGUAGUGGGGGACAACGUCUCGAAAGGAACGCUAAUACCGCAUACGUCCUACGGGAGAAAGUGGGGGAUCUUCGGACCUCACGCUAUCAGAUGAGCCUAGGUCGGAUUAGCUAGUUGGUGAGGUAAAGGCUCACCAAGGCGACGAUCCGUAACUGGUCUGAGAGGAUGAUCAGUCACACUGGAACUGAGACACGGGCCAGACUCCUACGGGAGGGAGCAGUGGGGAAUAUUGGACAAUGGGCGAAAGCCUGAUCCAGCCAUGCCGCGUGUGUGAAGAAGGUCUUCGGAUCGUAAAGCACUUUAAGUUGGGAGGAAGGGCAGUAAGUUAAUACCUUGCUGUUUUGACGUUACCAACAGAAUAAGCACCGGCUAACUUCGUGCCAGCCGCCGCAGUAAAAC
rnacentral:rRNA from 1 species